GCCUCUGUAGCUGCGCAGGCGCAGUAGCCAAUUAUUGGUUUCCGGUCGUGUCCCUAAGCUAUAAAUACGGAUGCUUUGCGUCUCCUCUGUCUCUUGGAGAACGCGGGCAGCUGUGAACUCCUUCUCUCGAAUUCCAGAUUCGAAAUGACUGCUUCGGAAAGAAGAGGAACCACAUGCAGACAUCAUUGACUUGAUGGCUUGGUUUGGAGUCCUCUAAUACUGGGAAUUGUGGUGUUUUAAAAAUGUCAUUAGAACCUUUUGAGAAUAUUUUAUAAGGGCAAAUUUGAUACCAUGACAUGCUAACAUUUUAUCAGUGCCCUUUUCCAACCUUAAUUGGGUUAUGUGGGUUGUCUUAAUGUAAAUGCCAAGCUUCUGAAUAAAUUUUAAUUGAAAUGUC